UACGUAGGUGGCAAGCGUUGUCCGGAAUUAUUGGGCGUAGAGCGCGCGCAGGCGGCCUCUUAAGUCUGAUGUGAAAGCCCCCGGCUCAACCGGGGAGGGCCAUUGGAAACUGGGAGGCUUGAGUAUAGGAGAGAAGAGUGGAAUUCCACGUGUAGCGGUGAAAUGCGUAGAGAUGUGGAGGAACACCAGUGGCGAAGGCGACUCUUUGGCCUAUAACUGACGCUGAGGCGACGAAAGCGUGGGGGAGCAAACAGG
rnacentral:rRNA from 1 species